rnacentral:lncRNA from 1 species
AUCAGUUGUCAUUGAUCGGCGAUUCGCGAUGUCAUGCUAUUUUUGAUUUGGGCUGCGGAAAAUGACAACGGCAAUAAACAAGUGAUCGCAUGUCAUCAUUAUCAUAUUAAUUAUAGGUUUUAGGUGUUGACAAUUAAUAUUAUAAGAUGAGUUGUGCUGUGUACACGAGGGGUUUUACAGGACCCCUCUAGAACAGACACACAAUAGGUGGGCCUCCAAUGUGGGACUCGCCUCAUAAAAAAUUCAAAAAAAUCCCCUUCCUUUAUUGUGUGUGUUCUAGAGGUGAUGUGAAACCCCUCACUAUUCAAACAGCAUAAUCCUUUUUUUUUUUUUUUUUUUAACGAGGUGUCCCAACUUGCGCCAGACUAUAUAUCCUCGUCCUUGAACCUCCGGCCCCCUCAGCUGCUCAGGGAGGUAAAUCGCAGAAUGUGCCCUUGUUGGUUCCCAGGUUCCCACAUGACUUUUACUCCUUCCCCAAAGGAAGCCUCCUCCAUGGUGAUUAAUCCACCAAUAAUUCCUCCUUUAUUGGAUCAAAGGUUCCCACCAGGAAUUGAACUCCCCACGCUUGGUUCCAGAGCCCCCCAAUGUGAUUGUUCUGCCAACUUGAAUGUGCCCUGGGGGGAAACAGCGUAAUCCUUAUAAGAUUUGAUGGUGACAUUGGGCUAUAGAAAGUGAUAAAAAUCUACGACAUUAGGCCAUAGAGAAUGAUGACGGCAAUAAACAAG